AGUCAACGGGAAUGCAGUAACCGUUGGUAACAGAACAAUGAGCUGCGCGCCAAGCCAAGUCUCUUGGUGUCACAGGCGGGAGCGGCAGGAUUAAUCACCGCUACCGCUGCCGCUGGCCACCCCUGUGUGCUGAUGUCCUGGGACCCGAUCCCCGUACCCCGUGCUUUCCGAUGCUGGAGCCUACGGAGGGCGUCCGAAACGGCCCUACAGAGCAGUCGCCGGGCAGUUGAAGAUCAGCUAAAGAUAUGUGGCCACAAGAGGGAUGAUGAUGUCUUUGAACUGUUCCUUUCUAAAAAGGAACUGACAGAGGUCAUUGAUCUUUCCAGGUUUAAAAAAUUAAAAUACUUAUGGCUUCAUCAUAACAAGCUCCAUGGAAUAACAUUUCUAACUAGAAACUAUUGUCUGACAGAACUGUAUCUAAACAACAAUGCAGUAUUUGAGAUAGAAGGCCUGCAUUAUUUGCCUUCAUUGCAUAUACUCCUGCUACACCACAAUGAGUUAACCAACCUUGAUGCGACAGUGAAGGAAUUAAAGGGAAUGCUAAAUCUGAAGAUCCUAAGUCUAUACCAAAACCCUUUGUGCCAAUAUAACCUGUAUCGUUUAUAUACCAUCUACCACCUUCCAGGAGUGGAGCUGCUUGACCGAAAACAAGUUACAGAAAAAGAAAGAAGAUCAAUGAUUACCAUUUUUAACCAUAAAAAGGCUCAUGUUGUUCAAUCAAUAGCAUUCGGAGGAAAAGUAGAUGCUUCAUGGGAUCCUAAAUCACCAUUUAAGCAAAAACCAGCCCAGAGAGUACCUUCAGAUUUUGCAUUUGCAAAUAAUGUAGACAAAACUGUGUUUGACGACCCAGAAGAUGCUGUUUUUGUCAGGUCCAUGAAGAGAUCAGUGAUGACUUUUUCCUGUAUGAACUGGGACACAGUUCCAACACGAGAGGAAAGAUACCUUGAAGAGGAAGGCCCAGAACCUGCUCAGAUGCUCACAGUUACACUGAGAUAAGCCCUGUCUUCCACACCACUGUGGAAGAAUCAUUUUGAUCAGUCUCAUUGAAAGACAACCUACAAAGAGAAUAAAACACCUAGGAAUACAACUAACAAGGAAUGUAAGGGACCUCUUCAAGGAGAACUACAAAUCACUGCUCAACAAAAUAAGAGAGGACACAAACAGAUGGAGAAACAUUCUGUGCUCAUGGUUAGGAAGAAUCAAUAUCGUGAAAAUGGUCAUACUGCCCAAAGUAAUUUACAGAUUCCAUGCUAUCCCCAUCAAGCUACCAAUGACCUUCUUCACCGAACUGGAAAAAAACCACCUUAAACUUCAUAUGGAACCAAAAGAGAGCCUGCAUAGCCAAGUCAAUUCUAAACAAAAAGAACAAAGCCGGAGGCAUCACACUACCAAACUUCAAAUUAUACUACAAGGCUACAGUAAUCAAAACAGCAUGGUACUGGUACCAAAACAGAGAUAUAGACCAAUGGAACAGAACAGAGGCCUCAGAGGCAAUGCAACAUAUCUACAACCAUCUGGUCUUUGACAAACCUGACAAAAACAAGCAAUGGGGAAAGGAGUCCCGGUUUAAUAAAUGGUGUUGGGAAAACUGGCUAGCCAAGUGCAGAAAGCAGAAACUGGACCCUUUCCUGACACCUUAUACUAAAAUUAACUCCAGAUGGAUUAAAGACUUAAACAUAAGGCCUAACACCAUAAAAACCCUAGAAGAAAAUCUAGGCAAAACCAUUCAGGACAUAGGAGUAGGCAAGGACUUCAUGAACAAAACACCAAAAGCAUUGGCAGCAAAAGCCAAAAUAGACAAAUGGGACCUAAUCAAACUCCACAGCUUCUGCACAGCAAAAGAAACAGUUAUUAGAGUGAAUCGGCAACCAACAGAAUGGGAAAAAAUUUUUUGCAGUCUACCCAUCUGACAAACAGCUGAUAUACAGAAUUUACAAAGAACUAAAACAAAUUUACAAGAAAAAAAAACAAGCCCAUUCAAAAGAGGGCAAAGGAUAUGAACAGACACUUUACAAAAGAAGACAUACAUGAGGCCAACAAACAUAUGAAAAAAUGCUCAUCAUCACUGGUCAUUAGUGAAAUGCAAAUCAAAACUACAUUGAGAUACCAUUUCAUGCCAGUUAGAAUGGCGAUCAUUAAAAAAUCUGGAGACAACAGAUGCUGGAGAGGAUGUGGAGAAAUAGGAACACUUUUACACUGCUGGUGGGAGUGUAAAUUAGUUCAACCAUUGUGGAAGACAGUGUGGCAAUUCCUCAAGGACCUAGAAAUAGAAAUUCCAUUUGACCCAGCAAUCCCAUUACUGGGUAUAUAUCCAAAGAACUAUAAAUUGUUCUACUAUAAGGGCACAUGCACACGAAUGUUCGUUGCAGCACAGUUUACAAUAGCAAAGACCCAGAACCAACCCAAAUGCCCAUUGAUGAUAGACUGGACAGGGAAAAUGUGGCACAUAUAUACCAUGGAAUAUUAUGCAGCCACCAAAAACAAUGAGUUCAUGUCCUUUGUAGGGACAUGGAUGAACCUGGAGACCAUCAUUCUCAGCAAACUGACACAAGAACAGAAAAUCAAACACCGCAUGUUCUCACUUACAGCUGAAGUCAAUGUUUCGGAAGAGAACGAGGAUGACAUCCCCUGGCUUCAACACCGUGGUGUCCACGAUGUCCUCCCAACGACGGCCCCCUGCUG